UGAGAUGGUGGAGGCAAGUUGUUCCCGCGUGUUCCAUAGUUGACACCGAUGGGAUUGUCAGCUGGGACGAAUCACACAAAACAAGACGCGGACUCAGACUCGUGGAGAAGCAGCAGCACUAGAAGCAGCAGCAGCAGAAGGCUCUUCAUUUCGUUGACGCAGGCUGGAACAAGAGCUCUCGAGCUUGCUAGCUAGCUAUCUCUCUCUCUCUCUCUCUCUCUCUUUCGUGUCUGUCACAGUAUGCAAGUAGUAUAUAGAUUGCACUAAGGUUAAGAGAGGCGCUUGAUGA